rnacentral:rRNA from 1 species
AAUGAACGUUGGCGGCGUGGAUUAGGCAUGCAAGUCGAGGGCGAACCCCGCAAGGGGGGAGACCGGCGAACGGGGUAGGACAACAUCGGUAACGUACCCUCAGGACGGGGAUAGCGGCGGGAAACUGCCGGUAAUACCCGAUGAUCUGGCCGCACUGCGAUGGCGGCCAGCAAAGGUGUGAUUCCACCGGAGGAGCGGCUGAUGCGCUAUUAGCUAGUUGGCGAGGUUACGGCUCACCAAGGCGACGAUGGCUAGGGGGUNUGAGAGCAUGGCCCCCACACUGGCACUGAGACACU